UCUUUGAUGGUCUAGUGGUUAUGAUUUCCGCUUGUCAAAGCAUAGCUUAACAAGCGCGGGAGACCGGGGUUCGAUUCCCCGUCAGAGAG